UUGUGGUGGUACACCACUUUCCCAGGUUAAGGGAAAGUUUAACGCUCUCAAACAUGUUCUGUAUGUGCCUAUCCCAAGUCAGGAGCUGUAAUCAGUGGUUGUCAUUGGUUGCUGUAUAUCACAUGUUCUGUAUGUACCUGUCCCAAAUCAGAAGCUGUAAUUUAUUGGUUGUCAUUGGUUGCUGUAUAUCACAUAGAAUGUAUGUGUCUGUCCCAAGUCAGGAGCUUGUAAUUCAUUGGUUGUCAUUGGUUGCUGUAUAUCACAUGUUCUGUAUGUGCCUGUCCCAAGUCAGGAGCUGUAAUUCAUUGGUUGUCAUUGGUUGCUGUAUAUCACAUGUUCUGUAUGUGCCUGUCCCUAGUCAGGAGCUGUAAUUCAUUGGUUGUCAUUGGUUGCUGUAUAUCACAUGUUCUGUAUGUGCCUUUCCCAAGUCAGGAGCCUGUAAUUCAUUGGUUGUCAUUGGUUGCUGUAUAUCACAUGUUCUGUAUGUGCCUGACCCAAGUCAGGAGCCUGUAAUUCAUUGGUUGUCAUUGGUUGCUAUAUAUAUGUAACAUGUCAAAAAUUACAUUCGAAAUUUUUUAGUUAUCUCUCUUUGUAUAGAGUUCAGCAAUUGAAGUUUUGUAAUAUGUCAAAAACUACAUUACAAGUUUUUGAGUUAUCUCUCUUUGUAUAGAGUUCAGCAAUUGAAGUAAAAUUUGGAAAUUAAAUAAAAUUAAGAAAAAACAGAAAAGAUAAUUUUUAUAUUAGCAUUUAUAUAUUUUAUUAAAUCAUAUUUAUGAUACAGUUUGAUUAUUUUGUCCAAAUAUUAUUUAAAGGUAUUUCAAAAUAUUAUUUACUUCAUUCUAGUAAUUAGUGUACAGGUAAAAACUGUUCACUACAUUGUAUGUUUUUACUAUUGAUAAAUAACUGAUCGACAGGUGUAGUUGUGUCUCAGUUUUGUGAACAAGAAUAUUUGAAGAUUUAAGGUUGGUGUAUUUUGUAAAUAUUUAUAAUGAUUUUGAAUAUGACUGUUUUAUAUAAAAGUGUUUUAUAAAAUACAAAAAGAACAAAAAUAUGACAUGUGCAUGUAAAUAACAUUCUAUAUUUUUAUCUGAAGUUUUGCAAAUGCAAAUAUGAUUUCGAAAUUUGUAUAAUCAUUUGAAAAAUAUAAUUAUAGUUUUAUUGAACUAAUUGAUAGGCAUUGUUGAGAAAUAUUGAUACUAUGAAAGAUUUGUUUUACAUUUUAAAUAUAAAAGGUUCUGAUAAAGUCAAUAUUGUUCACAGGUAGAUCUAUGUGUUUUUCCUACUAGAGGAUGAUAUUUUGAGGUGAAAUUGUCUACCAUUUCCUUAUUUAGGCGUUGCCAAUAAUUAAUGUUAUUUUUCGAUAUAUGUAUAAUGUGAAUAUAUGAAUACAGUACAAUAAAUUCAUGAACCUUACAUUUGUGCUUUCGUAAGCCAGUUUUAUCGUUUUCGGAGGUUUCUCUUGUGUUCAUAUUUUGAUUUGAGAAAUGUUAAGAAUUGUAAUAUUCAGAAAGGGAGAUAAUCGUGUUCUUAUAGCUUUUAUAUAGCUUUGGAUAAAUUAAUAGUUCUGAUGUAUUUAAUUGAUAUUUGAAAAAGCAAUCUUUAUUUCAAGUUAAAUUUAAUUGAAUUUAUAUCUGCAUAUUAAUAGACUUAUGAUGUUUUGUGUUUUUCCAUUUUUUUUUCACAAAUAUUGAACUAUUCAGCGUUGCCAAUAAUUAAUGUUAUUUUUCGAUAUAUGUAUAAUGUGAAUAUAUGAAUACAGUACAAUAAAUUCAUGAACCUUA